CUCGAUGGUGGCUGUGCGCAUGGCGCCUUCGGGCGCGCCGGGAUCCGUUACCUCUACCGGUCUACUAACUUGCGCACAGCUGCCUCCUUU
rnacentral:antisense_RNA from 4 species